rnacentral:rRNA from 1 species
GACAGAGGGUGCAAACGUUGCUCGGAAUCACUGGGCGUAAAGGGCGUGUAGGCGGGAGGGAUAGUCAGAUGUGAAAUCCCUGGGCUCAACCCAGGAACUGCAUUUGAAACUCCCCUUCUUGAGUACCGGAGAGGAAAGUGGAAUUCCUGGUGUAGAGGUGAAAUUCGUAGAUAUCUGGAGGAACACCGGUGGCGAAGGCGGCGUCCUGGACCAACACUGACACUGAGGAGCGAAAGCCAGGGGAGCAAACGGG